UACGGAGGGUGCAAGCGUUAAUCGGAAUUACUGGGCGUAAAGCGCACGUAGGCGGUGUAUUAAGUCGGAUGUGAAAGCCCCGAGCUUAACUUGGGAACUGCAUUCGAAACUGGCUGGCUAGAGUCUGGUAGAGGGGGGUGGAAUUCCCUGUGUAGCGGUGAAAUGCGUAGAUAUGGGGAGGAACACCAGUGGCGAAGGCGACCCCCUGGACAAAGACUGACGCUGAGGUGCGAAAGCGUGGGGAGCAAACAGG
rnacentral:rRNA from 1 species